CAUAUUGUGAGCUCGAUGAGUAGGGCGGGACACGUGGUAUCCUGUCUGAAUAUGGGGGGACCAUCCUCCAAGGCUAAAUACUCCUGACUGACCGAUAGUGAACCAGUACCGUGAGGGAAAGGCGAAAAGAACCCCGGCGAGGGGAGUGAAAAAGAACCUGAAACCGUGUACGUACAAGCAGUGGGAGCCUCUUAAUGGGGUGACUGCGUACCUUUUGUAUAAUGGGUCAGCGACUUAUAUUCUGUAGCAAGGUUAACCGAAUAGGGGAGCCGAAGGGAAACCGAGUCUUAACUGGGCGUUAAGUUGCAGGGUAUAGACCCGAAACCCGGUGAUCUAGCCAUGGGCAGGUUGAAGGUUGGGUAACACUAACUGGAGGACCGAACCGACUAAUGUUGAAAAAUUAGCGGAUGACUUGUGGCUGGGGGUGAAAGGCCAAUCAAACCGGGAGAUAGCUGGUUCUCCCCGAAAGCUAUUUAGGUAGCGCCUCGUGAAUUCAUCUCCGGGGGUAGAGCACUGUUUCGGCAAGGGGGUCAUCCCGACUUACCAACCCGAUGCAAACUGCGAAUACCGGAGAAUGUUAUCACGGGAGACACACGGCGGGUGCUAACGUCCGUCGUGAAGAGGGAAACAACCCAGACCGCCAGCUAAGGUCCCAAAGUCAUGGUUAAGUGGGAAACGAUGUGGGAAGGCCCAGACAGCCAGGAUGUUGGCUUAGAAGCAGCCAUCAUUUAAAGAAAGCGUAAUAGCUCACUGGUCGAGUCGGCCUGCGCGGAAGAUGUAACGGGGCUAAACCAUGCACCGAAGCUGCGGCAGCGACACUAUGUGUUGUUGGGUAGGGGAGCGUUCUGUAAGCCUGUGAAGGUGGCCUGUGAGGGUUGCUGGAGGUAUCAGAAGUGCGAAUGCUGACAUAAGUAACGAUAAAGCGGGUGAAAAGCCCGCUCGCCGGAAGACCAAGGGUUCCUGUCCAACGUUAAUCGGGGCAGGGUGAGUCGACCCCUAAGGCGAGGCCGAAAGGCGUAGUCGAUGGGAAACAGGUUAAUAUUCCUGUACUUGGUGUUACUGCGAAGGGGGGACGGAGAAGGCUAUGUUGGCCGGGCGACGGUUGUCCCGGUUUAAGCGUGUAGGCUGGUUUUCCAGGCAAAUCCGGAAAACCAAGGCUGAGGCGUGAUGA
rnacentral:rRNA from 1 species